CUCUCUCUCUUUCUGUCUGUCGCUCUCUCUCUUUGUCGAAGGAGCCAGGUUAGAGAGAAAGAGAAAGAGAAAGGCUCGCGGCACUUUGCCUAAAGGGUAGACGGAGCCAGCGAGAGAGAAAGAGAGAGAGAGAGAGCUUCAUUUUUCAAACGGAAGAAGUAAGACAGACAGAUAGGCAGGCAGACAGGCAGGCAAGGAGGGAACUUAAGAAGGACGAAUAAGGGUUCGCUGAACAUCGAAUUAACUCUUCGGGGCUUCAACGGUACACCUGCAGGUUGAACAAAAUAAAAAAAGAAGGAAGAGAAAAAGGAAAAAAAAAGAAGAAGGAAAACGAAAACAGAAAGGAAGAGAGAGAGACAAAGGAACGAAUUAUUUCCGACGGUUGGUUAUAGUUUAAAACGAUGUUAGAGAACAACCUCGAUGAGGAUUCUUAUCAAACAAGAAAGAGGGAAAGGGAGUUCGUUGAAAGAAAAAUUCAAUGAUAACAAAAAAAGAAAAAAGAAAAACAAAAAACUCGUAAAGAUCUUGAUAUGCAUUUUGAUACAAUAAUACAUUAUUAAUGAAUAAGAUAAA